rnacentral:lncRNA from 1 species
CUUGUUAGAGUGUUUAAGACUUUGUAAUCUUGGUUAGGUGACAGACUACUAUGCUGUCCUGCUGUUCACUUUUUCUGUUUUUUCUAAAUAUUGUAUCAGAAACUUUAUUUUGAUGUAGAAUGAAAUUAUCUUCAAGUUUCUGAAAUAACUUUUUGUUCUUACAAAUGGUAUACAGAGCUUCUUUGUUCUUAAAGGGCCUGUGAUUAAAAACCCUUGCUUUCUUGACACCCAACCAUUUUUCUUGAUGGCUUCAAACAAUAUUACCCUUCCAGCACCUCCUGUAUUUACAGGAAAGAAAUAUGAAAUCUGGUCUGUGAAGAUGAAGACUCAUUUGAGGGCAUAUGAUCUUUGGGAAGUGGUGGAAACAGCUGCUGAACCACCACCUUUGCAAGAAAAUCCAACUGUUGCUCAAAUGAGAUACCACAGUGAGCAAGUUGCCAAGAGAGCUAAGGCUCUUACCAUCCUUCACUCUGCUGUGAAUGAUGAUGUUUUCAUGAGAAUCUCACACUUAGAGACAGCAAAACAAGUUUGGGAAAAGCUAGAAGAAGAGUUUUUUGGGAAUGAAAGAACCAAGCAGAUGCAGGUUCUAAAUCUCAAAAGAGAGUUUGAAGCCUUAAAGAUGAAUGAGGCUGAAAACAUAAAUGAUUUCAUGACGAAAGUUAUGAAAGUUGUGAAUCAAAUAAGAUUGUUGGGAGAACAAUUUCUUGAUAGCAGAAUUGUAGAAAAAGUCUUGGUGGUUUUACCUGAAAGAUUCGAAUCAAAGAUUUCUGCACUUGAAGAAUCAAAAGAUCUUUCCAAGAUAACCUUAACAGAGCUUAUAAAUGCUCUUCAAGCUCAAGAGCAGAGAAGAAUUUUGAGACAAGAGGAAGCAUCAGAAACAGCUUUACAAGUCAAACACAAAGGAAAAUCCAUAGCAACCAAAGGUGAAAAGAAAUUUGUUGGAGAGCACUCUGGGAAAGAUACAAAGAAGAAGGAAAGAUUUCCAAAAUGUGGAAUUUGCAAAAGAACCAGCCACAAGGAAAGUGAUUGUUGGUACAAAGGAAAAAAACCACCACCAUUUCAAUGUAGAUACUGCAAUAAAACUGGGCAUAUUGAGAGGUUUUGUAGGCUGAAACAGCAGCACCAAAAUCAACAAAAUCAUACUUCUCAAAAGGCAAAUGUAACUGAAAUUGAAGAUAGUGAAGAACUCUUGUUCAUGGCCAAUACUACAAGGAGUUCGGAGGAUGGAGACACAUGGUUUAUUGAUAGUGGCUGCACACAACACAUGACUAGCAAACCAAAACUGUUUUCAGAGAUCAAACCCGCUGCAGGAUCUGUAAAGAUUGGAAAUGGACAGAAAGUUGCCAUCACAGGUAGAGGAACAGUGAAAAUUCACACUGCAACAGGUAUUAAAUACAUUUCUGAUGUACUUUUAGUUCCUGAACUUGAUCAAAACCUGUUGAGUGUGGGCCAAAUGAUUGAAAAAGGUUAUUGUUUGUUAUUUAAAGAAGGAAGUUGUGUGGUUACUGAUGUUAAUGGUCAUGAAUUAUUUGAAGUAAAUAUGAGAAAAAGAAGUUUUCCUAUUAACUGGAAUUUAGUUUCUGAACAUGAAUGUAAUAUGAGUAAAGCUGAACUUGAUUCUAAGCUUUGGCACAAAAGAUUUGGCCACUAUAAUUUGAAAUCUAUUCAAUUUGCUCAAAAGCAAGAGUUAGUCAAAGACUUGCCCAAUAUUCAAACUUUUUCGGAGGUGUGUGAAGGUUGUCAACUUGGUAAGCAACAUAGGUUGCCUUUUCCAAGUUCAGCAACAUGGAGAGCAAGUGAAAAACUUGAAUUGGUUCACUCAGAUGUUUGUGGACCUAUGAAUACUUCUUCACUCAAUGGAAGCAAGUAUUUUAUUCUUUUUAUUGAUGAUUUUACAAGGAUGACUUGGGUUUAUUUUCUGAAACAGAAGUCUGAAGUUUUUUCUGUUUUUAAGAAGUUUAAGAUCUUUGUUGAAAAUCAAAGUGGUUGUUUAUUGAAGAAACUUAGAACUGACAACGGGAAGGAGUAUACUUCUACAGAAUUCAAUAAAUUUUGUGAUGAUUUGGGUGUUGAACGUCAACUUACAGUCAGCUACUCGCCUCAACAGAACGGAGUUUCUGAAAGAAAGAAUAGAUCUGUCCUUGAAAUGGCUAGAUGCAUGAUUUUUGAGAAGAAAUUGCCAAAGUCCUUCUGGGCAGAGGCAAUAAACACUGCUGUCUAUCUCCAAAAUCGACUUCCUACAAAGGCGGUAGAAGGGAUGACACCUAUUGAGGCUUGGGGAGGCUUCAAGCCGUCUAUCAAGCAUCUGAGAGUGUUUGGUUCGCUAUGCUACACUCACAUACCAGAUGUGAAAAGAAGCAAAUUGGAUGAAAAGGCUGAAAAAGGAAUUUUAAUAGGCUAUAGCUCAAAGUCUAAGGGCUAUAAAGUCUAUGGAAUUGAUUCAAAUAAAAUUUUCAUUAAUAGAGAUGUUAAAGUGGAUGAAGAUGCAUAUUGGAAUUGGGAGACCUCUCAAGUUGAUAGAGGUUCAACUUUGUCUUCUCUCGAGGAUGCAAAUGAAGAUCAAGAUGAAGAAGUUGAUGAUGACUUUGCUGUUAGAGGUACCCGACCUCUUUCAGAGAUUUAUCAAAGAUGCAAUAGUGCUGUCCUUGAACCUACCAGCUUUGAAGAUGCUAGUAAAGUUGAUGAAUGGUACCAGGCUAUGAAAGAGGAGAUGGACAACAUUGAAAAGAACAAGACAUGGCAGCUGGUUGACAAGCCUAGAGACAAGAAUGUCAUAGGAGUGAAAUGGGUCUAUAGGGUCAAGAUGAACCCAGAUGGAUCCAUCAACAAAUACAAGGCCAGACUUGUUGUCAAGGGCUAUGUUCAACAAUCCGGGAUUGACUACACAGAAACAUUUGCACCGGUAGCAAGAAUGGAUACUAUUCGAAUUCUUGUAGCGUUGGCAGCACAAAUGAAGUGGAAAAUUUGGCAUUUAGAUGUCAAAUCAGCAUUCUUAAAUGGUAACCUUGAUGAAGAAAUUUAUGUUGCUCAACCUGCUGGUUUUUUGGUGAAAGGGAGGGAAGACAAGGUGUAUAAGCUUAAUAAAGCUUUGUAUGGGCUGAAACAGGCCCCUAGAGCUUGGUAUAGCAAAAUUGAUAGCCACUUUCUUAAUCAAGGAUUCAAAAGGAGUGAAAAUGAUGCAACUCUUUAUGUAAGAAGAUUGUUGGAUGGUGGUUCCUUAAUUGUCUCUUUGUAUGUUGAUGACUUGCUAGUAACAAGCAAUAAUCAACAAGAAGUUCAACAACUUAUGGAGGAGAUGAAAAACCAGUUUGAGAUGUCUAGCUUAGGGGAAAUGAACUAUUUUCUCGGCUUGGAAGUGCAUCAAUCUGAGAAUGGAAUUUUUUUGAAUCAAGAGAAGUAUGCUCGUGAAGUUUUGAAGAAGUUUAAAAUGGAAAGCUGCAAAUCUGCUCCAACUCCUUUGGUGUGGAAUUUGAAACUCUCAAAGGAAGAUGAAGCUGAAAAAAUUGAUGCUUCUCGUUAUAGAAGUUUGAUUGGGAGUCUACUCUAUCUUACUUCAUCUAGACCUGAUCUUAUGUAUGCAGCAAGCUUACUCUCAAGAUUUAUGCAGAAUCCUACCAAGACACAUUUUGCUGCAGCAAAGAGGGUACUUAGAUAUGUUAAGGGUACUACUCAAUUCGGAAUAUGGUACAAGCCAAGUGAAAAUGAAAGUUUGUUAGGCUAUGUUGAUAGUGAUUGGGCUGGAAAUAUAGAUGACAUGAAGAGUACUACAGGCUAUGCUUUUUCUUUAGGCUCUGGCAUGUUCUCAUGGAACUCGAGGAAACAAGAAAUUGUAGCUCAAUCCACGGCUGAAGCAGAGUAUGUAGCCGCAGCUGCAGCAGCAAACCAAGCUAUUUGGUUGAGGAAAAUACUCUAUGACUUGGGAAUACAACAGCUGGAAGCAACUGUGCUUUAUUGUGAUAGUAAAUCAGCAAUUGCUAUUGCUGAAAAUCCAGUUCAACAUGGAAAAACAAAGCAUAUUCAAGUGAAGUACCAUGCCAUACGCGAGGCUGUUAAAAAUCAAGAGAUCAAGCUUAUUCAUUGUUGUUCUGACUCUCAAGUUUCUGAUAUAUUGACUAAAUCUCUUCCAAGAGCUAAGUUUGAAAAGUUUCGAGAAUUGCUUGGAGUGUCCAUCCAAAAUCUCAAGGAGGAGUGUUGAGACAUUGAGAUUUCAGAUGUACACAAUAGUAUUUUGUGAUAUUUUGUUUUCUUUUAUUUUAAUGUAGUAGUUGAAGUUACCUCUGCAGAAGUAUGGUGACCCAUACUUGUUAGAGUGUUUAAGACUUUGUAAUCUUGGUUAGGUGACAGACUACUAUGCUGUCCUGCUGUUCACUUUUUCUGUUUUUUCUACAUAUUGUAUCAGAAACUUUAUUUUGAUGUAGAAUGAAAUUAUCUUCAAGUUUCUGAAAUAACUUUUAGUUCUUACAAAAGUUGGCUUGUUUGGUGAAGCAUCGAAGUUACCAAAAGACAGCGGUGGCUCUCAUACCAUAACUUGCUGAGCAACUUUGCACGCUCUCUCCAUAAGCUAUGGAAAUAAGGAUCGGAACUUGUUUGUUCGCGGAUUUGAUUGCUAGAGGUCUAUUAGAUUACAUGCUUUCUAGUUUGUUAAAUAAGGCAAAUAUGUCCUUCAAAUUAACAGAUACCUAUGUUUCUUCUUUUAUGCUUUUUGAUUAAGCUUUUGAUUAUGCCUAUGAUUGGAACAAGUUCCUUGUGAGGGGUGGAUGCAUCAAUUGUUAUAGUACCAAUUUGGCAGCCUGUUUUCUUUCUCCACAAGUUUGCUUUUAGAGACGUUAUUUGGUAAAUGUUGUAUAUUGUGUUCUUUUGCAGUUUGAGAACAUCGUUUAAUUUGUAACGUUUUUGAAGAUGAGAGGAAAGUGAGGUGCUUUUCAGUGACUGUUGCUGUGAUUUUCUGAUUGAGAAAUUUGUUUGAUCAAUAAAAUACUUUUGAAGAUGGUUGUUUUAGCUUGAAUAUUGUCGAAUACUAUCUACUAAAUGAUAGUUGAGUUGUGAUGAGUUAAGUUUAUAAAUAGUUUGUUGACAUUUCAUAGUUUUACUUGAUAUAGGCUCCAAAAAUUGGAAUGGAUUAUCACCCUCAUACUGUGUUAAAACAUCAAAAUU